rnacentral:rRNA from 1 species
ACACGACUACAUUAGAUACCCGGGUAGUCCCAGCCCUAAACGAUGCGCGUUAGGUGUAUCGGUGACCACGAGUCACCGAGGUGCCGAAGGGAAACCGUGAAACGUGCCGCCUGGGAAGUACGGUCGCAAGGCUGAAACUUAAAGGAAUUGCCGGGGGAGCACCACAACGGGUGGAGCCUGCGGUUUAAUUGGACUCAACGCCGGGAAGCUCACCGGAUAAGACAGCGGAAUGAUUGCCGGGCUGAAGACCCUGCAUGACCAGCUG